UACGUAGGGCGCGAGCGUUGUCCGGAAUUAUUGGGCGUAAAGAGCUCGUAGGCGGCCUGUUGCGUCCGCUGUGAAAUCCCAGGGCUCAACCCUGGGCGUCGCAGUGGAUACGGGGCAGGCUGGAGGCAGGCAGGGGAGAACGGAAAUUCCCGGGUGUAGCGGUGAAAUGCGCAGAUAUCGGGAGGAACGACCAGUGGCGAAGGCGGUUCUCUGGGCCUGUACUGACGCUGAGGAGCGAAAGCGAUGGGGAGC
rnacentral:rRNA from 1 species